GCAUCGAAUUAAAAUUUGUACAACGAUGUUCACACCUAGCUAAUUUAGAGGGAGAGGUAGGGUUGUAAUCAUAAUCUGUGAGAAUCAGAUAAAAAUAUAUUGAAUUAAGACAGAGUAGUGGUGUAUUGAAACUAGAAUCUUAAUGAGGAAAAACCAUAUAAUUGUUAGAGUAGGGGUACAAUCUGCAAAUACUAAUAAGAAUACUAAAGGUGAAAGCUUUUUUUCCAGUAAAGAUUGACGCUGAGACACGAAGGUGGGAAAAGAAAAAAGGAUUAGAGACCCAAGUAUCUCCCACAGUCAACGAUGAAUGGAAGUCGUUAGUUUAAUAAAAAACUAGUGGCGAAGUUAACGCUAUAACCAUUCCGCCUUGUGAGUAUUCUUGCAAAACUGAAAACAAAAAAAUUAGUCGGUCUCGAAGCAAACGAAGUGAAGCA
rnacentral:rRNA from 1 species